UUUUUUUUUUUUUUUUUUUUUUUUUUUUUUUUUUUUGUUUAAUGCACCUUUAAUGCAC
rnacentral:ribozyme from 1 species